GACGAACGCUGGCGGCGUGCUUGACACAUGCAAGUCGUACGGAAAGGCCUGCUUUCCCUUGUGGAUUGCGGGUACUCGAGUGGCGAACGGGUAAGUAACACGUGAGUGAUCUGCCCCCAACUUGGGUAUAAGCCUGGGAAACUGGGUCUAAUUCCCGAUAGGACUGCAGGGUGGUGCCUGUGGUGGAAAACGAUUUUCUAGUGGUUGGGGAUGAGCUCGCGGCCUAUCAGCUUGUUGGUGGGGUAAUGGCCUACCAAGGCGGCGACGGGUAGCCGGCCUGAGAGGGUGGACGGCCACAUUGGGACUGAGAUACGGCCCAGACUCCUACGGGAGGCAGCAGGGGGGAAUAGUGCACAAUGGGCGGAAGCCUGAUGCAGCGACGCCGCGUGGGGGAUGACGGCCUUCGGGUUGUAAACUCCUUUCGACCGCGAGGAAGCCACCUGGUUGGAAGGGUGGUGACGGUAGUGGUAGAAGAAGCACCGGCUAACUACGUG
rnacentral:rRNA from 1 species